GGAGAGAUGGCCGAGCGGUUUAUAGCCCUGGUCUUGAAAACCGGUAUAGUAUUUUCAAUACUAUCGAGGGUUCGAAUCCCUCUCUCUCCC
rnacentral:tRNA from 1 species